AGUGAACGCUGGCGUAGGCCUUACCACUGCCAGUUGGACCGCAGCAACGUAAGAGCUUGCUCUUUACGGUGGCGAGUGGCCGGCGGGUGAGGAAUAAAAUCGGAUCUUCCUUUUUGUGGGGGAUUAAGUAGGGAAACCUAACCCUAAUACGCCUUCCGACUAAGGGUGGAAGCCAGGGAUCCUUCGACCUUGCGGGAUUGGAUGAGCCGAUGUCGGAUUAGCUAGUUGGCGGGGUAAAGGCCCACCAAGGCGACGAUCCGUAGCUGGUCUGAGAGGAUGAUCAGCCACACUGGAACUGAGACACGGUCCAGACUCCUACGGGAGGCAGCAGUGGGGAAUAUUGGACAAUGGGCGCAAGCCUGAUCCAGCCAUACCGCGUGGGUGAAGAAGGCCUUCGGGUUGUAAAGCCCUUUUGUUGGGAAAGAAAAGCAGCAGGUUAAUACCCCGCUGUUCUGACGGUACCCAAAGAAUAAGCACCGGCUAACUUCGUG
rnacentral:rRNA from 1 species